rnacentral:rRNA from 1 species
UACGAAGGGGGCGAGCGUUGUUCGGAUUUACUGGGCGUAAAGGGCGCGCAGGCGGUUCUGUUUGUCGAGUGUGAAAGCCCCGGGCUCAACCUGGGAACUGCGCUCGAAACGGCGGAACUAGAGUUCGGGAGAGGAGAGUGGAAUUCCCAGUGUAGAGGUGAAAUUCGUAGAUAUCGGGAGGAACACCAGUGGCGAAGGCGGCGACCUGGACGGAUAUUGACGCUGAGGUGCGAAAGCGUGGGGAGCAAACAGG